rnacentral:rRNA from 1 species
AGAGCGAACGCUGGCGGCAGGCCUAAUACAUGCAAGUCGAACGGAUCCUUCGGGAUUAGUGGCGGACGGGUGAGUAACACGUGGGAACGUGCCCUUUGGUUCGGAACAACUCAGGGAAACUUGAGCUAAUACCGGAUGUGCCCUUCGGGGGAAAGAUUUAUCGCCAUUGGAGCGGCCCGCGUCUGAUUAGCUAGUUGGUGGGGUAAAGGCCUACCAAGGCUACGAUCAGUAGCUGGUCUGAGAGGAUGAUCAGCCACACUGGGACUGAGACACGGCCCAGACUCCUACGGGAGGCAGCAGUAGGGAAUCUUGCGCAAUGGGCGAAAGCCUGACGCAGCCAUGCCGCGUGAAUGAUGAAGGUCUUAGGAUUGUAAAAUUCUUUCAGCGGGGACGAUAAUGACGGUACCCGCAGAAGAAGCCCCGGCUAACUUCGUGCCAGCAGCCGC